UCUCAGUUGUUUCCAUUAUAGAUUGUCAGUGGGAACGUCUGCAAAAAAGCUACAGCUAUGGAUGAUCCUAUUUUUGACAAGACUCCAAAAUCUAAUGCUCCCACAACAGACAAGCCUGCUGAUCCUAAGUUAACACCAAAAAUAAAUAGUGAAGGACAAAAAUCUGUUACACAUGAUACUCCUGUAUCU